GAACAAAAAAAAGUCUUCAUUUUAUAAAGAUCAACAAUCCAUUUAUUUCCUCUGGGGACGAGGAGGGAGAUGAAGACAAAAGACUGGAUUCCAGAUUUCUCCCAGUGAAAUAAGGCAGCUGGUUAUCCCUCUUCAGUUUUGUUGGGCAAGGAUUUGCUUCACUUCCCAAGUUGUGCUCAGUGACAAAACACAGGGAGCCACUCAAGAGCAUGAUCAUCUCAAAGACCAGAAGCUUUGAUAGCCCAGAGAUGUGUGAUGCUGCUCAGUGUGGCUCAUUCUACACUCUCAGAUGAAAAACCACUGCAUGGGUUAAUGGUAUUAAUUCAGUUUAUGGCUUCCAGAAUGCCGCUGCUUUAUAGUCUGUUUAUGUCUUCUGAAAAAAUAUAUAAGUAGUACAGUUAAAAAAAGUUAAUCUCAGUAGAGUCUUCUCCAAAUGCAUUCCUUUGGUACCUGUGAUUUACUCUGCAAUCUGCUUCUCCUUGAGGGCACUGCUACUUCUUUGUUUAGUUUUGUUGUGUGCUACGCUA